GUAGUAUUUAGUAUUUUAAUUGUAGUCAAAAUACUAUCUUUCUUAUUUAUAUUGUUCGAUGAAUGCUUCUCAUACCAGAUGAUUGCUUGGUGACCUUCUGUCGCCAAUAUAUGUAUACUGAUGAGAUAAUGGAUCGGAAUAAGCUCCUCCAGGAUACUAGAGGAUACAGAUGCGGCAGAUGCCGACAACGAUUAGUCCCAAGGACAACAAAUUUAGAAGACAUCCAAUGCCCAGCAUGCGAAAGAGUUGCUUCUAGCAGUCUAGGUGGAACAAAUGAACGAAGCUGCAAUAAUAAGACAAAUGGCAGAUUUUCUAGCACAGUUUCUCACGUUGCUGAAAAAUUCAGGAAUACUUUUUUAGGCAGGCAUCAUCGUCAAGACAGUGAUACAGAAAAACCCAAGUCAUUGAAUUGCAAUCCUUCCCCAUUGGAGUCAUCAUCGACUUCUCUAUCUGAUCAGAGACCACGAAAACGUGCACUGCUUAUUGGAGUGACUUACAAGACAUGGAAGCACAAGCUUAAGGGAACUGUUAAUGAUGUCAAGAAUAUGAGAAGUUUUUUGAUAGAAAAUCUCAAAUUCCCUCCACAGAACAUCCUCGUUCUUACAGAAGAUGAGACAGAACCAGAUCUAAUUCCCACAAAGAAAAACAUCGAGAUAUCCUUAAAAUGGCUUGUACAGGAUUGCCUGGCUGGUGACUCGCUGGUGUUUUAUUACUCCGGCCAUGGCUUGCGACAACCGGAUUUCGAGAAAGAUGAGCGCGAUGGGUUCGAUGAAACUAUUUGCCCGGUCGAUUAUCUCACAGCAGGCAUGAUCCUUGACAAUGAAAUUUAUUCUACCAUUGUUCGCCCACUUCCUGAAGGUGUCACACUCCAUGCAAUUGUUGAUGCUUGUCAUAGUGGAACUGUUCUUGAUCUAUCUUAUGUCUACAACAGAGAAACGAAGACGUGGGAUGACAACAGUCCACCAUCUGGUGUUAAAAAAAAUACAAGUGGUGGAUUGGCGAUUACAAUCAGUGCUUGUCGAGAUGAUCAAAUGGCUGCAGAUACUGAUGCCUUCAGUGAAGAUGAUGUGAAAAUGAGUGGAGCUUUAACCCAUACUCUGACAAGUCAUGUGAGCAAAGGCAAUGAAAUAACAUAUGGUAAACUACUUGAUGCCAUCUAUAAGGACAUUGAGGACGCUGACAAACGAGGCUGGAUAGUCGGCAGGCUGUUGAGAAAACUGUUCAAUGCGAGGUUAUUACAGAAGCCUCAACUUUCUACUUCUGAACCCUUUGAUGUUUAUCAGAAGCGUUUCUAUUUAUAACAAGCCUGAAGAUUUGCUGUUGGAGGAAUGAGAAUUGAUUGAAUUACAUGACUAUGAAAUGAAAUAAGGUCGUCUUUGUGAAUAUACGCCAUGUCAUGAACCCAAUAUGAGCUGCUGAAUCCUAUAUUGAUCAUCUCUUCUGUGCACCAUAUAUCUUCUGCAUGUCAUGUAUACAAAUGACACAUAGAGGAGAAAUGGGGAAGAAAGGAUGUAUUAUUUUAUAAUAUGUACGUAUGUGUGUCCUGAAUUAUCUUCAAAA
rnacentral:misc_RNA from 1 species